GGCGAUGCACCGAGAGGCCACUGAGCGGGCGGGGCGGGGCCCAUGGAGGAGUUUAGGGGUAGCCGGGUAGGGGUGGGGCGAGGUGGGGCGUGGAGGAGUGUUUGCGCAUAACGGAGGAUGCGGGGGCCUAGGCGACGAGGUGGGGGGUUGAGGCAACGGUGUGCGGGAACGUGUUCGCUCGCUCGUUGGUACAGCGGCCGCCUCGUCUGCGCUCUGCUCUCGCAGAUGUACCGGUUCGAACGCCUCGUCCGGCUCGCGAUGCUCCUCUACCACCUCAAGUACCUCGCGCAGCGCUUCCGGUGGCCGCCCCGUCCCGGGCCCCUCCUCGAUAGGCAGCUCCUCGCGUUGGACGAGAGACACCGAAUGUUCUUACAGUAGCCCCGGGCCGCGCGCAGGACCUCCUAGUAGAGGAGGUAGCUCGUCUUCCUCCUUCCAGCCCCGUUGCUGCGCGUGCGGCGAUGGUAGGCGAGGAUGGCGUCGUUCUAGCUCCGGCUCGAGCGUUUCUAGACACUGCCGUAGGAGCGGGACGAACUAAGGGUGGAGCACGGUAGGCGGCCUCGACGGCUCAGGUUUCAGAAGAUAGAGUUCUACUUCCCGCUGAUGGUGUCCAUGGAACGUCUCAAAUUCAGACCACCCCUCUCCUUCCUUCGGCGGCUCUCGUGGUACUUGCGCAUGUUUCGACGAGUCCUAUAGCGGGAUCAUCUAAACCGAGGUUGUGUGGGGUAGUCCGAACCCGAACGUGAGUUGAAAAGACACAAGAUGAUACUCUAGAACUUGAGGGGACUGGCACGGACGUUGGAACGUUUUGUUCGGAAACUGCUCCGAUAUAGUCUCGACCUGUCAAAUCCGCUCCUUAGGAUGUUCCUGUCGUGAAAUUAGUACGUCGAGGACGCACUGUUAAACUGAGAUACCUGUAGGCUGUGGUUACUCCUACUGCAACUACUCUAAUUCCUUCGGGGUCGAGGUUUUCUUAGACCUCUGCCUGUCACUCCACUUACUUUUAUUGUCAGACACGUAACAACCCCCGUUACCUUCAGCCAGAACCAAGAUCACGAGUAUGACAACAGUAGUGAUGGAGACAAAUUAAUACGUGAACUCUUCAAAGACCCGAUACAAAAAGACCACGAGUAUUUACGACCGACCUAAGCACAAAAGAACAAGUUUAGACCGGUGUUCGUUUUCUGGACGAGAAAAAGUGGUAAUCUUACAAACGAUAUAGAUGGUACAAACCACUCUGAACUACGCUGAUCUGAUUAAACGACUUUAACGCCAUAGGACAAGUACAAACCGACUUGAUGUAAGACUGUUCUACCAAACGCGUUUCUACAAGUAAACGUGCACGAUCGACACCGUACCGGAGUUAGCUAACUCUUCUUACAGUUCCAAGUGGACUAACUACGAAAAGAACCGGGUCAAAAGCAACGUUGAUCUUCGUUUCCACGCGAAACGACGCAACAAGGAUAGUAAGAACCGUAACAGUACCACUAACUAUACCGUUUAUUAGGCUACGCGACGUUCUUAAAGAUAGAUCAGUGGAAGGACUUCUUACAUUGCACUCGAUUUACUCCUUACAAUAUGUUUCAAUUAGACAUUAUUCUCCUGUGUAAGAUUUAUUUUCCUUGGUAAUCGAGUGAUGGUAUAACAGUCACAAAAGGAACGUUCGACAUAAUAUUAUCGUGGAACUCGUUGACCUUCGUUAAGAAAAACCCUACGUUGUUUAAACCGAACGAGAACCAAUAAGGAAAAGAACAACCUUGACUUAAACAUGUUAGAACGGUGUAAGGACCUAGAGUUUA
rnacentral:rRNA from 1 species